UCUCUUGGUAGGCCUGUACCGACUAGGCCAUGGGAACAGCAAACAAAUAGGAGCUUAUAUGGAGGCUAUGGCUCUGGCCUAAAUUAUAAUUCUGGAUAUGGUUCUGGAAUGUAUGGUUCUUCAUANNNNNGGAUUUGGAGGGUCUUAUGGCGGUGGCUUGUAUGGAAACAACAUGUAUAGAGGAGGUUAUGGUGGUCUGUAUGGAGGCAGUAUGUAUGGUGGGGGAAUGUACAAUAGUGGUUUUGGUGGUCCAAUGGGUGGUUAU
rnacentral:misc_RNA from 1 species